CAGUAGGGAAUCUUCCACAAUGGGCGCAAGCCUGAUGGAGCAACACCGCGUGAGUGAAGAAGGGUUUCGGCUCGUAAAGCUCUGUUGUUAAAGAAGAACACGUAUGAGAGUAACUGCUCAUACGUUGACGGUAUUUAACCAGAAAGUCACGGCUAACUACGUCCUAG
rnacentral:rRNA from 1 species